UGGCAGCAAUACACAUUUUUAGGUUGUAGUCCGCCAUAAAACCCACAGAAGAAGAAAUCUCACUAAACACAACUCGAGCCAGCGUUAUCUGAAGGAAUGUCUAAAUUCGAGUUGUUGAGAGUGAUUCUGAAACAGCGAUGUACAACGGCGGCGGAGAUAUUCAGAGCCGUUGCAAAAACACUUUCAAAGUACCAGGACAAAGUUUAUCUGUCGAAAGAAGAGAACGACCGUCUGCAGACGCUGCUUGAUAUCAUCCUGAAACCAGAGAUAAAGUUGUAUAGAACAGAUUUCCAGCAGUUCAUUGUCUCUGAAGAGGAGUUGUCCCCUGUACAGCAACACUGUAAGCAGAAUUGAAGCCCCAGUCUGGGGCAAAAUGACUGGAACCCCAUACAGAUUAAAGAGGAACAGGAAGAACGCAGGAUCAUCCAGGUGAAUGAAGACUCGGUAUUCACUCCUGCCUGGGUGAAAAUUUACUAUGAUCAUUACCCAACUCUUAACAAAUCUUCUUCACAAAUCUUCACAAAUCCAAAGUGAAGAAUACAUAGACAAAACGGCUUCAACUGAACAGAUCAAAACAGAACCUAAGGAAGAGGAUUCCUCAGAGCCAACCAGUGAAUCUCAGUCCCUGCGCAAAUCAUAGAGAACACUGACAGAAAAAGACACACUAAGCUCCAAGGUUAGAAAAUCCAUGGAUCUGAAAUCCCCAGUGCAUAGGAGGAGUUACACAGAAAUGAGAGAGAAACCAUUUUGCUGUAGUGAUUGUGGUGAACGUUUCACUCUGAUGGGAAAACUGAAUUCUCAUAGGAUUAUGAUGCACUCUGGGAAGAAUCCGUAUCGCUGUGAUGAAUGUGGAAAAUGUUUUGUUCAGUGCGGAGCUCUGGAUUCUCAUAUGAGGAUCCACACAGGGUUGAAUCUGCAUCAUUGUCAGGUUUGUAGCAAAGGUUUUGAUUAUGGUAGAAGUCUGAAUGACCAUAUGAGGACCCACAAAGGGGUGAAAUUGCAUUGCUGUCGGGACUGUGGCAAAGGUUAUGUUAAAGGUCUGAAUUGUCAUCGGAGGAUUCACACAAAGGAGAAACUCAAAGGCUGUCAUAUUGGAGUGAACACCUGAAAUCGCAUGGAAGAUUUCACACAGGCAAGAAUACGCAUUCUUAUACUGAUCCACACAGGGGAGAAAUCAUAUCACGAACAGGAUUUACUGUAAUAUGGCAAAUGGUUUCCCCAUGUUGAGUAUCUGAAUUAUCACAUGAGGAUUCACACGGGGGAGAAAUCAUUUUGCUGUAAUGAUUGUGGCAAAUGUUUUAAUUUUGGCAAUGGUCUGAAAACGCAUAUGAAGAUUCACACAUGGAAGAAAUCAUAUUGCUGCCAGGUCUGUUUUGCUCAGGAUAAUUCACUGAGGUAUCACAUUGGGAAUUUUCACUUGGAUGGGUAAACUGAAUUUGAAAUUAGAUACAAGAUGGAGGGGCAAAAUGUCAAACUUCCAUGGUUCUUUCGGUGAAUACAAUAUGACUUUGGGUUUGUAAAUAUACUUGCAGGACAACCAAUAAAGUUACUAAUUAUUAUUGUUCAACUCA